UUGUUGAGUAAUUGGCCGGAAACGCUAGGCGAAGAAGAGGCUGAUGAAUUAUUUAAGACGAAAUACCCAAGCAAAGCAUGGAUAGAAUCUGAGUGGAAAGAGAUGUUUGCUAUGAUGGAAGGGACUGGUGUGCCACUUACGUUAUGUCAUCAUGAUGCCCAUCCGUCCAAUAUGCUUUACCUGCCCGAAGACGAUCGGGUCAUUUUUGUCGACUACGAGAUGUCAGGAUUUUCUUGGCCGACUCAGGAUUUGGCUACUUUCCUAGAAUUUUC